rnacentral:tRNA from 1 species
GAGUGUAGCUCAGUGGUAAAGCAUUUGCCUAACAUGAAUGAGGCCCUGGGUUUGAUACCCAGCAACACA